GCUCUUGAGCUAUAUCCAGUACAACAAGGAUUGAAAC
rfam:Thioploca ingrica DNA, complete genome.